rnacentral:rRNA from 1 species
UACAGAGGUCUCAAGCGUUGUUCGGAUUCAUUGGGCGUAAAGGGUGCGUAGGUGGCGAUGCAAGUCUGGUGUGAAAUCUUGGGGCUUAACCUCAAAAUUGCACCGGAUACUGCGUUGCUCGAGGACUGUAGAGGAGAGUGGAAUUCACGGUGUAGCAGUGAAAUGCGUAGAUAUCGUGAGGAAGACCAGUUGCGAAGGCGACUCUCUGGGCAGUUCCUGACACUGAGGCACGAAGGCCAGGGGAGCAAACGGG